UUGUGACUGCGGAGGAUCAUUAAAGAAAUUUAAUAAUUUUGAAAAUGGAUUUUUUUGUUUUGGCAAGAGCAUGAGAGCUUUUACUGGGCAAGAAGACAAGAGAUGGAGAGUCCAGCCGGGCCUGCGCUUAAGUGCGCGGUCUUGCUAGGCUUGUAAGUUUCUUUCUUGCUAUUCCAAACGGUGAGAGAUUUCUGUGCUUUUGUUAUAGGACAAUUAAAACCGUUUCAAUACAACACACUGUGGAGUUUUCAUAUCUUUGCAACUUUUUCUUUGGGCAUUCGAGCAAUCGGGGCCCAGAGGUAACAAACACAAACAAUUUUAUUUAUUCAUUAAAUUUUUGUCAAAAACAAGAAUUUUCGUAACUGGAAAUUUUAAAAUAUUAAAAACUUUCAACAACGGAUCUCUUGGUUCUCGCAUCGAUGAAGAACGCAGCGAAAUGCGAUACGUAAUGUGAAUUGCAGAAUUCCGUGAAUCAUCGAAUCUUUGAACGCACAUUGCGCCCCUUGGUAUUCCAGGGGGCAUGCCUGUUUGAGCGUCAUUUCCUUCUCAAACAUUCUGUUUGGUAGUGAGUGAUACUCUUUGGAGUUAACUUGAAAUUGCUGGCCUUUUCAUUGGAUGUUUUUUUUCCAAAGAGAGGUUUCUCUGCGUGCUUGAGGUAUAAUGCAAGUACGGUCGUUUUAGGUUUUACCAACUGCGGCUAAUCUUUUUUAUACUGAGCGUAUUGGAACGUUAUCGAUAAGAAGAGAGCGUCUAGGCGAACAAUGUUCUUAAAGUUUGACCUCAAUCAGUAGGAGUACCGCUGACUAGCGCACAAUACUAA
rnacentral:rRNA from 1 species